CCUCAGUGACUUGUUCAAAUGACUAAAGACUGCCCCAGCAGCAACCUGUACUUCUUUUUCCAUUUGACAUUAUCUGGUUUCAGCUUCCAAUCACAGACUCUUGUCAUGACUUGUCUGCUAGAUUAAAGAACUUUAUCCUGCCAGAAAUCUUCUCUUGAGGACCUCCUGGUGUCUUCAUCUGAACCCCAUGCUGUUGCCUGAGAAACCAAAAUGCACAAGUCACAUGAUAUUGCCAUCAACCACCAUGUCUGGAGACUCCCAAAACAAGAGCAAGUAUCUCCAGCCAAUUUAUACAGCCCAAUUUAAAAGCAGUAUUGUGACAGUAAACACGUAUCUCGCUCCUACUGUGCUCACAGUGCACACAAAUGAUAAAUAGAUGAGAAGUCCAGAAACAGAAGCAACUGGAAUAUUAACACAGGACAGACUUUAAUUUACAUGUAAAUGCAACUUCUGAUCAUUAUUCAACUGGAAGGUCCAAGACAAGCCCCACACACUUUCUAUUCAAAGAGAACAGUGCUGUAUAAAACCACCAGCUUUCAUCACCAAAAUUAAAACCUUCCCUACAGCAAGGCCCAGUAGUUCUGCAAAAUCUGCUGGUCUCCUUAAAUUUACCCACAAGAUUAUCAUCUUUCAAGUAAUCCUGCAGCAAAGUAAGCUGGAUAAAACAACUGGGAGCUGACAGUUGAAACUUGGAGAGACAGGAAGCAGGCGAGAAGGCUGGAUGGUGAUUUGUGACGCCAGACAAGUUGGGUCAGAUCCUGAGAUGGAGUAAAACGCAUUAAGGCUGAGGGCACUAUUAACUGGGGGCUGAGAGCAUGUGGGAUCCCUAUUGGCUCUAACUGACUGCUUUGGAGCAAAGGGGCCCCUUCCUUCACAAGAAAAGUCAAGACCAGCAAAGCUGCCUUAGAGAGAACUUUCAGAUUUAAAAUACUCAGCAACAUACCCAACCAUUCAGUGUCCUCUGCAAUUUUCCUCCCUUCACCACCUUUUAUAAAACAGUCUUAACAGGUCCAAGCAGGUAUUGUUAGCUGGAGGUGAAAAUAUACAUAAACAUCCAUACUAUACAUAAUACCUCAUUCUGAAUACAAGAAAAACAGCUGUGUUACACAGGGAAGGGCCAGAAUACAAAUCCAAAGCUCCCCCAAAAGAGCCAGGAUUUCUUUUUUUGUUUCCUUCCCCCCAGUCCAUUACCAGCACAGGAAAUGGCUUCAAAGUUCAGUCUGGAUCUGAACUCUUCUUGAACCUUCACAUUGCAGCCAACAUAUUUUUUUAAACAUGGGGCUUCCACAGAAAUUAUUCCCUUGACACAUGCUAAAUCCUGGAUUUUGUAAGAGAAAGAUGGGAGACCACUAAGAAGAAGGGGUGAAUUUUCCCAUACCCUGAGCUCAGGUCCAUGAAGACAUCAGAGCAGUAAGAAAUGCCACCACCCAGGAAAUGCAUUUAUAUAUAACAUUUGGGAAGGGAUAUUUCUACCUCAUAUACACAAAAAGACAAAAAAAAAAAGAAAAAAAAAUAAGAAAAAACGUACAUUCUCCAUUAUCUGAGCAUUCAAUUCAAUUUGGCUUGAAGUAAGAAUUUAUGAGCACAGGCAAAGAUCUGGUGGGAGAAGGGAAAAGCACAGAUCUUUCCCUGGGAGUUGCUUGAGAAAUAGCUCCCAUGUACUACAGUCCAAUUCAGGCUGAAGGCCAAAAGCUUGUGCUUCAGCAGUGUUUUUGUGACAGCUGGGAUAAGACCUUGCUAGAAAGGAUCAUCUAGCCAUAUCCUGACAGGGGAUAUGUCACUGAAUGAGAGAGCCAUCACAGGAGAGUAAGGAAUUUUGACUGGAGCACUUGACAUCUGCAAAACUGCGCAGCAGCAUUUUGAUCCCCAGUCUCAAAUCUAGCCCAUAUUCACCUAACCACAGUACCUAUGCACUUUGCAUCAAGUUUUGACAACCUUAAUACAAAAACAAAA